AGCAGCCGCGGUAAUACGAAGGGUGCAAGCGUUACUCGGAAUUACUGGGCGUAAAGCGUGCGUAGGUGGUUGUUUAAGUCUGCUGUGAAAGCCCUGGGCUCAACCUGGGAAUUGCAGUGGAUACUGGGCGACUAGAGUAAGGUAGAGGAUAGUGGAAUUUCCGGUGUAGCAGUGAAAUGCGUAGAGAUCGGAAGGAACAUCUGUGGCGAAGGCGACUAUCUGGGCCAUUACUGACACUGAGGCACGAAAGCGUGGGGAGCAAACAGGAUUAGAUACCCCCGUAGUCCCUGUAUCUUAUACA
rnacentral:rRNA from 1 species